UACGUAGGGUGCGAGCGUUGUCCGGAAUUAUUGGGCGUAAAGAGCUUGUAGGUGGUUUGUCGCGUCUGCUGUGAAAAUCCGAGGCUCAACCUCGGGUCUGCAGUCGAUACGGGCAAACUAGAGUAUUGCAGGGGAGACUGGAAUUCCUGGUGUAGCGGUGAAAUGCGCAGAUAUCAGGAGGAACACCAGUGGCGAAGGCGGCUUUCUGGACGGUAACUGACGCUGAGACGCGAAAGCGUGGGGAGCAAACAGG
rnacentral:rRNA from 1 species